rnacentral:rRNA from 1 species
UACCAGCACCCCGAGUGGUCGGGACGAUUAUUGGGCCUAAAGCAUCCGUAGCCGGUCCUACAAGUCUUCCGUUAAAUCCACCUGCUUAACAGAUGGGCUGCGGAAGAUACUAUAGGGCUAGGAGGCGGGAGAGGCAAGCGGUACUCAGUGAGUAGGGGUAAAAUCCUCUGAUCCAUUGAAGACCACCAGUGGCGAAGGCGGCUUGCCAGAACGCGCUCGACGGUGAGGGAUGAAAGCUGGGGGAGCAAACCGG